GAUGAACGCUGGCGGCGUGCCUAAUACAUGCAAGUCGAGCGAACGGACGAGAAGCUUGCUUUUCUGAUGUUAGCGGCAGACGGGUGAGUAACACGUGGAUAACCUACCUAUAAGACUGGGAUAACUUCGGGAAACCGGAGCUAAUACCGGAUAAUAUUUUGAACCGCAUGGUUCAAAAGUGAAAGACGGUCUUGCUGUCACUUAUAGAUGGAUCCGCGCUGCAUUAGCUAGUUGGUAAGGUAACGGCUUACCAAGGCAACGAUGCAUAGCCGACCUGAGAGGGUGAUCGGCCACACUGGAACUGAGACACGGUCCAGACUCCUACGGGAGGCAGCAGUAGGGAAUCUUCCGCAAUGGGCGAAAGCCUGACGGAGCAACGCCGCGUGAGUGAUGAAGGUCUUCGGAUCGUAAAACUCUGUUAUUAGGGAAGAACAUAUGUGUAAGUAACUGUGCACAUCUUGACGGUACCUAAUCAGAAAGCCACGGCUAACUACGUG
rnacentral:rRNA from 1 species